UAUUUAUCAAUUUGUACUGUUAAAAACGGGUUUGGCUAGCAGAAUAACGAUACAGUGAUGCAUGGCGUGCUAUGUGUACUUUGUUGACGUAUAGAGACCAGUUUUUAACAGUAAAAAUUGAUAAAGUUUUUAAUA
rnacentral:pre_miRNA from 1 species